rnacentral:rRNA from 1 species
CGUUCCCGGGCUUGUACACACCGCCCGUCAAGUCAUGAAAGUCGGUAACACCCGAAGCCAGUGGCCUAACCGUAAGGAAGGAGCCGUCGAAAGGUGGGAUUGGUGAUUAGACU